GCAAUGCUCCAAUUGAUCGGCUAGUCGGCCAGUCUUAGAGUCAGCUUCGACCGCAGUCCCUUGCAAGUCAACAAAUCACCAUGAAGGCCUCGCUAUCAUUUCUCGCGGUUCUAGCCAUUGUGGCUCUGUCACAAGCUGCUCCUGCCCCCGAUGCUGAAGACACGAUAAAGAAUGCAGGAAAAAGUAUCGGUGACGCAUUCUCCUCAGCCUGGGACUCGAUCAAAUCUGGAGCAGAGAGUGUCUGGGACAAAACGAAAGAAGGAGCGACGUCCCUCGGCAAGUCGAUUUCCGAUGGCGCGUCCAAUCUCGCCGAGAAGACCAAAGACACAGUUGGUUGAAAGCAUGACCCACCUCACAGAAUCUUGACUGAAGGAUCAUCGUCGAGCGGGAAGCGAAAAGCAAUGCACAAAUAAAGAAUAUGUCUCUGGG
rnacentral:lncRNA from 1 species